UUUGCCUGUAUACAUCAGUUCUGCUCUUCGACGGCCCUCUCUCGAAGAAAGGUUCGGCGUGCUCGCGGAUCUCUGUUCGCGGAGUCCCCAACCCCAACCAUGGUCAGCGCAAGCAAAAAAGAAGAAGAAGGAAAAAAAAAAAGGAAACCAACCAUGGCGAUGGGCGAAACUUCAAUGGCGAGCAGCGGCCAUGGCAACCCCGUCGCCCCAUCCGAUGAAUCCAAAAGGGGAUCAGGGGAACCAGAGGGGUGUACAACAGUGGUAUCACCAAAUCACAAAUCUUUUGCUUACAUCAGCAAGUGUAUAUAGUUUCAAUAUACUAAAGUUUAGGUCCAGAUUUCUUGAAUCCGUGGUGCUUCAGUUAUAUGAUUAGGGACAAUUCAAUAUUCUAUUAUUCCAAAAAUAAAGUUUUAACAGUGGUAUUGCAGUUUCAACUUGCGCUUGUAUACAGUUUUAUUUUCUAAUCAGACUCAGAGUGGAAAUUUCAUUUUCUUUCUAUUGUAAUAUUGUCAACUUGGGAGUAAGUGCUUCUUUUAUUUGAAUCAGGAUUGGUGUGCCACUCUGCGAAAUCUGCAAACA